GGGCCCGCACAAGCGGUGGAGUAUGUGGUUUAAUUCGAUGCAACGCGAAGAACCUUACCAGGGUUUGACAUCCUGCGAAUCUCUUGGAAACAGGAGAGUGCCUUCGGGAACGCAGUGACAGGUGCUGCAUGGUUGUCGUCAGCUCGUGCCGUGAGGUGUCAGGUUAAGUCCUAUAACGAGCGCAACCCCUGUGGUUAGUUGCCAGCGAGUAAUGUCGGGAACUCUAGCCAGACUGCCGGUGCAAACCGCGAGGAAGGUGGGGAUGACGUCAAAUCAUCACGGCCCUUACGUCCUGGGCUACACACGUACUACAAUGCUACGGACAAAGGGCAGCAAGUUCGCGAGGACAAGCAAAUCCCAUAAACCGUGGCUCAGUUCAGAUCGUAGGCUGCAACUCGCCUACGUGAAGGCGGAAUCGCUAGUAAUCG
rnacentral:rRNA from 1 species